rnacentral:snoRNA from 1 species
UAUAAAUGAUGAUAAUUAUGACCAGUUCUGCUACUGAAUGAAUUUGAAGAUAGUCCAUUUCUGAAGAAA